UACAGAGGUCUCAAGCGUUGUUCGGAAUUACUGGGCGUAAAGGGCGUGCAGGCGGUUUGUUAAGUUCAGGGUGAAAGCUCCCGGCUCAACUGGGAGAGGUCCUUGGAUACUGGCAGACUUGAGGAGGGUAGAGGAGAGUGGAAUUCCCGGUGUAGUGGUGAUAUGCGUAGAUAUCGGGAGGAACACCAGUGGCGAAGGCGGCUCACUGGACCGGAACUGACGCUGAGGCGCGAAAGCGUGGGGAGCAAACAGG
rnacentral:rRNA from 1 species